rnacentral:rRNA from 1 species
AGUGAACGCUGGCGGCAGGCCUAACACAUGCAAGUCGAACGGCAGCACAAGAGAGCUUGCUCUCUGGGUGGCGAGUGGCGGACGGGUGAGGAAUGCAUCGGAAUCUGCCCAUUUGUGGGGGAUAACCUCGGGAAACCGGGACUAAUACCUCAUACGACCUACGGGUGAAAGCAGGGGAUCUUCGGACCUUGCGCAGAUGGAUGAGCCGAUGCCGGAUUGGCUAGGUGGAGGGGUAAAGGCCCACCAAGGCGACGAUCCGUAGCUGGUCUGAGAGGAUGAUCAGCCACACUGGGACUGAGACACGGCCCAGACUCCUACGGGAGGCAGCAGUGGGGAAUAUUGGACAAUGGGCGCAAGCCUGAUCCAGCCAUGCCGCGUGUGUGAAGAAGGCCUUCGGGUUGUAAAGCACUUUUGUUGGGAAAGAAAAGCAGCCGGUUAAUACCCGGUUGUCAUGACGGUACCCAAAGAAUAAGCACCGGCUAACUUCGUG